rnacentral:rRNA from 1 species
AUUGAACGCUGGCGGCAUGCCUUACACAUGCAAGUCGAACGGCAGCGGGCCUUCGGGUGCCGGCGAGUGGCGAACGGGUGAGUAAUGCAUCGGAACGUGCCAUUGAGUGGGGAUAACGUAGCGAAAGUUACGCUAAUACCGCAUAUUCUGUGAGCAGGAAAGCAGGGGACCGCAAGGCCUUGCGCUCUUUGAGCGGCCGAUGUCAGAUUAGCUAGUUGGUGAGGUAAAGGCUUACCAAGGCGACGAUCUGUAGCGGGUCUGAGAGGAUGAUCCGCCACACUGGAACUGAGACACGGUCCAGACUCCUACGGGAGGCAGCAGUGGGGAAUUUUGGACAAUGGGCGCAAGCCUGAUCCAGCCAUGCCGCGUGAGUGAAGAAGGCC